UCUGGGCCCAAAUUCUUACAUCACAAAGCCCCAUCAACUCAGCUUCCUUAUUUGGAUGAGACUACAGGCUGGUGAAUGCUUCGAAGGGCCACAGAGAACUGGAGAUCACUGCACCUGGAGCAUGCAAGCAAGAACUGAAAUUUUAAUUUUUUUUUUUUUUUUAAUUUUCUGGCUCACCAGGUGUUGCUCAGGGCUUACUCCUGGCUCUGCACCGCCCCCUUCUGGGUUGCCCCGGACUGGCUCUGCACUCGGGAAUCACUCCUGGUGGUGCUUGGGGACCAUAUGGGAUGCCCGGGAUCAAACCUGGGUCAGCUGGCAAACACCCUAUCCGCUGUACUAUCUCUCUGGUUCCAAGGUCAGAAAUUCAGAUUCUAACUAUUUGUGAAGUAACUCUGGCAGGUUAUUGUGCCUCUGGGAACCUUCAUUUCUCCAGCUGCAAAUAGGGACAUCAGUCCAUCUUAAAUUUAUUGAGAGGGUGGGUUCAAUUCCAUGCCUGCCAGAUCUGUCAGAUUUCAGGUCAGGGUUGGGGAGAUGGCUCCGAGUUGAAGAGAUGACCUUACACGUGGAAGUCAUGGGCUUGAUACCUAGGGUUCAAACCCUAGACCAACGACCAGCCGCCGAGGGUUCCUCUCACAACAGAACUCCAAUUACCACAAGUCCCGGCAGCAAGUUCUGCCCCGGGGCCCCGGCCAUCCCGGCACCGUCACAGCAACCGGGACGGGGCUCCCAGAACUUCCUGCCAAGGCAGUGCACUGGGACGGACCAACCUUGCGCGACAAAGCUGAGCAUUCUGUAAAGGAGCUCCCGAAUUAGCCCCGUGCCCUCCCGGGCUUCCCCACCGCGUUCUGAGCAUGCGUAACAACCGCCCGUCUUCGCCCCGCAGAGAAUGCUCUCCCUGAGUGCUCCGCAUCCCUCCCUUCCCCUACCCUCGCCCCAGGUUCCACCCUACUGCCCCCGUUCCCUUCUGUAGCCUCGGUCCCAAGAAUCAGGUCACACUACCCGCCGCCUCUUAUCACGCUCCCCGCCUCUGAUCCAGGCAUCCAGGAUUCCGUCGACGUGUGCCAGCUUUUCAUGGGGCUGCGGGAAGCACCACCACUUUGCCGAGCGCGCAUGCCUCCCACACAGUGCCCGCUACUCCCGCGGGCCCCGGAAACGAGCAGGUUUCUGCACCAAUCCCGGCUUUCGCUGGCCCGGCGCCGCUACCGCGUCUUCAGGGCAAUUCUCAGCGGCCUGGGCCCUCCUCCACCUUCCUAGAGACGCAGCCUGGAGCCCAGGAGCAGGGGGCGUGGGCCGGGCUUGGCGCGCUUGAGCGGCGUCAUGCCCGUUGUUUGUAGCUCCCGCCUCGCCGGCAAGAUGGAGGCCGGUGUCGGCUGUCUUCAGGAAGGACUUGACCGGCGAAGUGCCACCGUGAAACAAAAGCAACCGGCCACAGCCGGUUGAGGUUUUACUUCAGCGUCCAGAACCCCAACAUGCAUAUUGGCUUGGUGCUCAUCAUGUUCUACCAGAGACCCAGGUGACUGCUUCUACUCCUGCUGCAACACUGUUAAUUUCCAGCUCCAGAGUGACUGAGGUGGGGGUGCUGUGCAGAGGUGAUUCAUCACUGAUCACACAAUAAAUGCAAGUCACACCCGGCGAUGCACAGGGGUCACUCCUGGCUCUGCACUCAGGAAUUACCCCUGGCGGUGCUCAGGGGACCAUAUGGGACACUGGGAAUUGAACCCGGGUCGGCCACGUGCAAGGCAAACGCCCUAAUUACUGUGCUAUCACUCCAGCCCUUCAACUGUUUUUUAGUCUUUACCAGUUUUUCAAUGGCUAAUUCUAUGAUUCAUGAAUUAAACUUAUCACUUUUUAUAUGUUGUAACACAUGUAACAUACAGUAACCUUGCUACAUACUUUCUGUGUGUGUUCAUUUAUAUCCUGCAGCUAUUCCCUGGGUGUAUUCAUUUACAUGACUAUGAAAUAUGAUAGGGGAUUAGAUUUUAAGAAAUCCAUCAUUGCAUCAUUAAGGAGUAUUUCAUGUCUUCUAAACAGUUUCUGCUGCUACAUCAUUGAUCUCUGGCCUUACAUAAGCAAGGCAACAGCAUUGUUGUUGAGUCCCAGUUACUGGCCCUUAAUUUUUUUCUUAAAGUCCUGAUACAAUGGGAUCAGGCCUACACAUUAGAAGGUUGAUGUUUGUUUCUUAGGCCACCAAAUCUCAUUCAGUUUCAUCCUCUAUGUCCUCUGAGCAGCAUUGGGCUUCAAUUCUGAGCAUAUAGACAGAGCUAGUCAUUGAGCACCUGGAGUGUGGUCUAGAAAUACAUCCUAAGGCAUAAUUAUAGGAUUUCUUUUCCCCUCAGAUGCUGCAGAUGAGCCCAUGGUAGCCCUCAGGGCAUGCUUGGCUUGCUGUAUCACUGGGUCACUGGGAGCACAGAGGGUGCUGGGUCAGGGACCACCAGGCUUGCGCAUUACAUUGCCUCAGUUGGGACCUAAGUGCCAGUUACUUGGCUCUGGAUCUUGUGUGUGCAAGGACUGUAUCCCCAUGGCUGAAAUGUUUUCUUUGUACUUUUACUGUUCAUUGAUUAUAAAUGAGGCACUGAAACUUGCUGGAGGUCCAGAUUUCAUUCCUAUUGCUAACUUCAUGAUCCUGAGUUCAGAUCCGGGUGUUUUCUCUGAGUGCUGGUAGGUGUGUAUGUGUGUUUUUAGUUUAAAAACCAGCUGAAGUAAAAUAAAUUUCUUUUCCUUUUAAUUUUAUUAAAGGCUAUUUCCCACCGUG